rnacentral:rRNA from 1 species
AACGAACGCUGGCGGCAGGCCUAACACAUGCAAGUCGAACGCCCUAGCAAUAGGGAGUGGCGCACGGGUGAGUAACGCGUGGGAACGUGCCUUUCAGUCUGGAAUAACAGCGGGAAACUGCUGCUAAUACCGGAUAUCCUCUACGGAGGAAAGAUUUAUCGCUGAAAGAUCGGCCCGCGUAAGAUUAGGUAGUUGGUAGGGUAAUGGCCUACCAAGCCUACGAUCUUAGCUGGUCUGAGAGGAUGAUCAGCCACACUGGAACUGAGACACGGUCCAGACUCCUACGGGAGGCAGCAGUGGGGAAGAUUGGACAAUGGGCGCAAGCCUGAUCCAGCCAUGCCGCGUGAGUGACGAAGGCCUUAGGGUUGUAAAGCUCUUUUAUCAGGGACGAUGAUGACGGUACCUGAAGAAUAAGACACGGCUAACUUCGUGCCAGCCGCCGCCGUAA